GAAACCCUGCUUGGGAAGACUCUAGCCAAGUCACCAAUAGCGAGUCUUGGAGCUUUAAGGGUAACCUUACGGUUUAAGCGUAGACAGUCAGAUAGUAGGCCGUGUGAUUGAGCCUCGAAAGACGUACAAAAAUGGAAAGGUCGACGGAUUUUGAGCUCUCGGAAGACUACAGGAUAAGCAGCGCAACAGGCGAGUUGCUUAUCCCUUUCCCGGGGUCAGAGAGCA
rnacentral:ncRNA from 1 species